rnacentral:rRNA from 1 species
UAGGGAAUCUUCCACAAUGGACGCAAGUCUGAUGGAGCAACGCCGCGUGAGUGAAGAAGGUUUUCGGACCGUAAAGCUCUGUUGUUGGUGAAGAAGGAUAGAGGUAGUAACUGGCCUUUAUUUGACGGUAAUCAACCAGAAAGUCACGGCUAACUACGUGCCAGCAGCCGCGGUAAUACGUAGGUGGCAGGCGUUGUCCGGAUUUAUUGGGCGUAAAGCGAGCGCAGGCGGAAGAAUAAGUCUGAUGUGAAAGCCCUCGGCUUAACCGAGGAAUUGCAUCGGAAACUGUUUUCUUGAGUGCAGAAGAGGAGAGUAGAACUCCAUGUGUAGCGGUGGAAUGCGUAGAUAUAUGGAAGAAUACCAGUGGCGAAGGCGGCUCUCUGGUCUGCAACUGACGCUGAGGCUCGAAAGCAUGGGUAGCGAACAGGAUUAGAUACCCUGGUAGUCCAUGCCGUAAACGAUGAGUGCUAAGUGUUGGGAGGCUUCCGCCUCUCAGUGCUGCAGCUAACGCAUUAAGCACUCCGCCUGGGGGAGUACGACCGCAAGGUUGAA